UGUUAAAAAUUUCAUCCAUUUUUGCUUUUAAAAAUUGACAUAGCUGAUGGAAUAACCAGAUAGUUUCACAUGGUGAGCCACGUAUACCUCAUGCUGACAUACAAUGACUAGUUUUAAAAGCAAAAUUGAAUGAAAUUUUUAACA
rfam:Gossypium hirsutum cultivar TM-1 unplaced genomic scaffold scaffold613.1, whole genome shotgun sequence